rnacentral:lncRNA from 1 species
GUUUUGUGAGUUUCUUGCUUCCCACAGAUUAACACUCUCCCUCUCUUGGUUGACUCUGAUCACAUUGGAAAAGGUGAUCCUGAGAGGUAUUUCAACACAGAAUGAACCAUGUAAGUGCUGCUGGAUAGUAGCACCAUUGUGGUAAGCAGCUACCAGC